UUUAAAUAAAUCAUAUAUGUUGGACUUCGAUUUUACUUAGGAGAAAACCAUAAUUUCUAUAUUGUCAUUUUUCGAAAAACUAACAGAUUUAGCUUUAGGAGCUGUAGUUAGUUUGUAUCACCGUAGUUUGUACGCAGUGGAUAUACAGAAUAGUGUAGAAUGAGAUUACACUCGUACUGGGAUGCCGAGUUUAGUUUUACAGUAGUGUCUAGACUAUUCCGAACUGUCGGGUGCCGUUGUGGUUGACGGUGGACCGAGAUUUCAGUAUUUUGCAUCAGAUUGUGCUGAGGGCAUAUUUAUUAUGGUUGUUAGACCAGUUAGA
rnacentral:lncRNA from 1 species